GAUGAAGAACGCAGCGAAAUGCGAUAAGUAAUGUGAAUUGCAGAAUUCAGUGAAUCAUCGAAUCUUUGAACGCACAUUGCGCCCGCCAGUAUUCUGGCGGGCAUGCCUGUCUGAGCGUCAUUUCAACCCUCAAGCAACUUCUGCUUGGUGUUGGGGAUCGGCCGUCAAACGCCGCCCCCGAAAUCUAUUGGCGAUCUCGCUGUAGCUUCCUAUGCGUAGUAGUAACAUCUCGCAUCUGGAGAGCGGCGCGGUCAUGCCGUAAAACACCCAACUUCUCAGGUUGACCUCAGAUCAGGUAGGAAUACCGGCUGAACUUAAGCAUAUCAAUAAGCGGAGGA
rnacentral:misc_RNA from 1 species